UUGCUUCAGUAGCACAUAUGCUGAAAUUGGAACAAUACAGAGAAGAUUAUCAUGGCCCCUUGUGCAAGGAUGACAUACAAAUUUGUGAAAUUCCAUAUUUUC